rnacentral:rRNA from 1 species
GUGGGGAAUAUUGGACAAUGGGCGAAAGCCUGAUCCAGCCAUGCCGCGUGUGUGAAGAAGGUCUUCGGAUUGUAAAGCACUUUAAGUUGGGAGGAAGGGCAGUAAGUUAAUACCUUGCUGUUUUGACGUUACCGACAGAAUAAGCACCGGCUAACUUCGUGCCAGCAGCCGCGGUAAUACGAAGGGUGCAAGCGUUAAUCGGAAUUACUGGGCGUAAAGCGCGCGUAGGUGGUUUUGUAAGUUGGAGGUGAAAUCCCCGGGCUCAACCUGGGAACUGGCUCCAGAACUGCAUGACUAGAGUACGGUAGAGGGUAGUGGAAUUUCCUGUGUAGCGGUGAAAUGCGUAGAUAUAGGAAGGAACACCAGUGGCGAAGGCGACUACCUGGACUGAUACUGACACUGAGGUGCGAAAGCGUGGGGAGCAAACAGGAUUAGAUACCCGUGUAGUCC